rnacentral:lncRNA from 1 species
UUUCAGAUUCAUUAGCAUGCUAAAAAUUAUUAAACAAACAAGGUUGAUUUUAUUAAAAUCUAACUUAUUAUAGGCUAAAAUUAUUCUAAUUUGAUUCAACAUGCGUAAUUAUUGGAGUUUAAUUAUUUCAAGACUAUUAACAUGCUUAAAAUUACUAAAUAUGGUUGGUUGAGCAGGUAGUAAAUAUCAUAUUAUAGGCACAAUAUUCUACAUAGAAUAACACAAAUAUUACCAC